GGAGGCUUGAUGAGGAGGAAGUGUUCUUUUUUGUGUGUCUCGUCUUUUUUUGUUGGAAAGAAGAUGUCUUGGACUUGCUAUGGUUUGUGCCUUGAAUGAGCCACAAGUUGGGAUUACGGUCAUUUGACUGGUGAGAAAAGCUUCAAAGAUUGGGAAAGAUUGAGUGAUUAACCAUUGACUGCUGCUAGGAAUACAAACAGAGAAUUUAAUUGAACAGUGGAUUCUUUUCUCAUAAGGUAAGAAUAAUCUUUGAUAUUCUGUUCACUUUAAUCUUCAGGCAUUUUCACUUUUAGUUCUACAGGUAAAUUGAUCUCUUGUGCACAAUACAUUUCCCCUACUUCAGAUUUAUCUUCUGAUAUUUGCCGUAUGGAUACCGGUACUGUCCCAAGUGCCAGAAGGGCAUUAUUAUACUUAAGUAAAAAAUGAUGUGAGUCUGUUUCCAUCAGGAUCUCAGCAGAUUUUUUUUGGUGUAUUUCUAGUGAGUGUGAAAUAUUCUACGGUCAUCGAUACAACGUUAUCAAUGUCAGUGUCUUACUUUUUCACUUUGUAAGAAUUAUAUUUAUAUGAUAGGCAAUAACAUUUUUUUUUACAAAGCACAUGAAUUAUCCACAUCUUGGUCAAUGUCCAGUUAGUGACUUUACAUUACAUGUAUGGAUGUGUAAAAGGGGCCAUUUAGCUAUUGCCCCAUCUGAAUUUCAUAAAAAUAUCAUAAUAUGGUACACUUGAGAGUGGUCCACUCAUCAAAAAUAACUGUGACACUUAUCAAAGUUUGAUUAAACAACUGAAUCACUGUCACUCUAGCACUUCCAACACACGCAUGCCCUUCAAAAGCUGAAGUAUUGGAACUCUUUGCCCCAAAAUGGUAAAUCUUCUACCUAUUUUUGGCUGGCUGGCCGGGGGUGGACAGGCGUCCCUCAUCUAAAUAUUGACAUUGGGCCAAGGCAAGCAUGUUAAUGCAGUUGGACACAGAUUUAUGCAGGAUAGUGGGGCAUCAAUGUCAUAUGAGGGCUCAGGAAUAAUAAUAUGCACAUAUAGGCCUAAACCCUAUAUAUAGAGAAAGCUCAAUUUAGAUGGUGGUGAUUGUUGACAACUAAAUAGGGUCAACACUUUGGUCUAGAAAUACACUUGUGAGUCCGUCUGUCUGUCCGUCUGUCUGUCCGUCAGGCACAUUUGUUUUACUUUUUUCUUGAAUACAGUAAGAGCACAAGCUCUCAUAACAUUACAGUUUUGCUAAUUUAUAUAGCAGUCACAAAGCAAGGAACUAUCACAAAUUGGAGAAGAAAAAACAUCAGUGUUGUGCCAAUUUCGUGACACAAAACUUUUGCCGAUCUUAAUCGUUUGCAAAAUUUGUAAAAAUAUCAUGAGUUCAAAGUUUCAGGUUGUAUAGUAUAGGGAUUAUUUAUGAGAAUGAGGUAGAAUCUGCAGGAGUUUAUGGAGAGGUUGUAUAGGCCUGAAGAAAAAAAAAGAAGACGAUAUCGGAUAAAAGUACAAGCACUUGGAAAUCUGAGCAUG